rnacentral:lncRNA from 1 species
CCGUUGAGAUGAGCGUGUUAAUACAUUGAGGAAUAUAUUAGAGGUAAUAUGCAUGUUGAUAAAUUAUGGAACAUGUUGGAUGGCAUAUGAAUGUUUGGUAUAUGUAUAUAGAUAUAUAGUGGAAUAUGAUAAAUGAAUAUGCAUGUUGAUAUUGUGGAGUAUGCUAGAUGAAAGUAUGCAUGAUGGAAAGUUGUAAAAUGUGCUAAAAAGUAUAUG